GCCGUUUCCGUAGUGUAGUGGUUAUCACGUUCGCCUAACACGCGAAAGGUCCCUGGUUCGAAACCAGGCGGAAACAUGCUUCUUUGCUUAUGCGUCCUGAUAUAAAAGUGUCUGACUGCAGGCACUGCUUGAACUUGUGGGGUUCUACUGCUGUUUGGGACACAGACGAGAGAAAGUACUCAAAUCUGGUACAGGCCUCUGACAUUUGUAACCUUUGGAUGCUGGGCUUGCUAAGAGUUCUCUAUGGCCCAAAUUUCAACAGAAUUCACACAAAUCAACACAUCUCCAGUCACCAUAUUUCCUGAAGAUGGAGGCACAGACUAAGCUCUUGGAAAUGAGUGGCUCUAGGUGGCCUGCACAGGGCUAAAAAGUUGUCUGUGUACCAAAUUUCAGAAAACUCCAAAAGCACCAGCACAAGAAUGUAUCAUGACCUUACCCUGAAAAUUGAAUUUACUAUUUAAUGUUUGGUCUUUCUCUAAGACAGUAAGAGCCAUGUUAACAUGGCUUAAUCUCACCAACAGAGUGGUCUUACCUCUCUAAAGGUUCAUGGAGAAGUAAAGUUUUCUUAAUGAAGUUAAGUAUUUCUUGUGGAGUUUUGAAGCCGUUAGAGAGAGUCAAGUUCUGUCAUUUCAUUCUUUCCCUUAGCUGUUUAUUUCUAAACAGACACUCACUGAACCCACAAGAGGAGGAAUUUAACGCCCUCAGACCUGAUCAGUCCUGCUUUUCCCAGAUCAGUGCUCACAGUUUAGUCUGUGGUGUAAAUCUUUAAGCCUCUUUUAUCAAUAUAAUCAUUCCUGUGCACUUUUCAGAGUCCAUGUCAUUACAAACUUUUUAUCAUUAAUGAAAUAAAAAUGACACAUCAUCUGGAUAUAUAAAUAAAAUAAAAUUUAAAAAAAAAAGAAAAACCCAAAGAAAACUAUUAAAAAUAUUUUAUUUAUCAUGCACAGACUGCUAGACAAUAGAGGGCACUAAAACACUGUGCUCCCUGAGCCACACCAAAGUUUGAAGUGUCAAUGUGGUAAACCAAAUCUGGUUUAGUGUGGGAAAAUUCCUGCCUAGUUGCAGCAAUCAAAUUGAAAUUCACAGGGAACAAAUUUUAAAAAGCAGACACAGAAAAAAAUGACACUGUUACAAAAUACGAACACAACAGCCUCAUAAUGACAGAUUUAA